rnacentral:rRNA from 1 species
UAAGCGGAGGAAAAGAAACUAACAAGGAUUCCCCUAGUAGCGGCGAGCGAAGCGGGAAAAGCUCAAAUUUGUAAUCUGGCGUCUACGACGUCCGAGUUGUAAUCUCGAGAAGUGUUUUCCGUGAUAGACCGCAUACAAGUCUCUUGGAACAGAGCGUCAUAGUGGUGAGAACCCAGUACACGAUGCGGAUGCCUAUUACUUUGUGAUACACUUUCGAAGAGUCGAGUUGUUUGGGAAUGCAGCUCAAAUUGGGUGGUAAAUUCCAUCUAAAGCUAAAUAUUGGCGAGAGACCGAUAGCGAACAAGUACCGUGAGGGAAAGAUGAAAAGCACUUUGGAAAGAGAGUUAACAGUACGUGAAAUUGUUGGAAGGGAAACACAUGCAGCCAGACUUGCUAUUCGGGGCAACUCGAUUGGCAGGCCCGCAUCAGUUUUUCGGGGCGGAAAAUCAUAGAGAGAAGGUAGCAGUUUCGGCUGUGUUAUAGCUCUUUAUUGGAUUCGCCCUGGGGGACUGAGGAACGCAGCGUGCUUUUAGCAUAAGCUUCGGCUUAUCCACGCUUAGGAUGCGGGUGUAAUGGCUGUAUAUGACCCGUCUUGAAACAC